rnacentral:rRNA from 1 species
AAAUGAAUUGACGGGGGCCCGCACAAGCGGUGGAGCAUGUGGUUUAAUUCGAUGCAACGCGAAGAACCUUACCUGGUCUUGACAUAGUAAGAACUUUCCAGAGAUGGAUUGGUGCCUUCGGGAACUUACAUACAGGUGCUGCAUGGGUGUCGUCAGCUCGUGUCGUGAGAUGUUGGGUUAAGUCCCGCAACGAGCGCAACCCUUUUCCUUAUUUGCCAGCGGGUUAAGCCGGGAACUUUAAGGAUACUGCCAGUGACAAACUGGAGGAAGGCGGGGACGACGUCAAGUCAUCAUGGCCCUUACGACCAGGGCUACACACGUGCUACAAUGGUCGGUACAAAGGGUUGCUACCUAGCGAUAGGAUGCUAAUCUCAAAAAGCCGAUCGUAGUCCGGAUUGGAGU